rnacentral:rRNA from 1 species
AGCAGCAGCCGCGGUAAUCCGUAGGUGGCAAGCGUUGUCCGGAAUUAUUGGGCGUAAAGGGCUCGCAGGCGGUUUCUUAAGUCUGAUGUGAAAGCCCCCGGCUCAACCGGGGAGGGUCAUUGGAAACUGGGAAACUUGAGUGCAGAAGAGGAGAGUGGAAUUCCACGUGUAGCGGUGAAAUGCGUAGAGAUGUGGAGGAACACCAGUGGCGAAGGCGACUCUCUGGUCUGUAACUGACGCCGAGGAGCGAAAGCGUGGGGAGCGAACAGGAUUAGAUACCCGCGUAGUCCCUGUCUCUUAUAA